rnacentral:rRNA from 1 species
UCGGGUCUAGCGGCGGACGGGUUAGUAACGCGUGGGAAUGUACCCUUCACUUCGGAAUAGUCCCGGGAAACUGGGUUUAAUACCGUAUACGCCCUUCGGGGGAAAGAUUUAUCGGUGAAGGAUCAGCCCGCGUCUGAUUAGAUAGUUGGUGGGGUAAUGGCCUACCAAGUCUACGAUCAGUAGCUGGUUUGAGAGGAUGAUCAGCAACACUGGGACUGAGACACGGCCCAGACUCCUACGGGAGGCAGCAGUGGGGAAUCUUAGACAAUGGGCGCAAGCCUGAUCUAGCCAUGCCGCGUGAGUGAUGAAGGCCUUAGGGUCGUAAAGCUCUUUCGCUGGGGAAGAUAAUGACGGUACCCAGUAAAGAAACCCCGGCUAACUCCGUGCCAGCAGCCGCGGUAAUACGGAGGGGGUUAGCGUUGCUCGGAAUUACUGGGCGUAAAGCGCGCGUAGGCGGAUUGGAAAGUUGGGGGUGAAAUCCCGGGGCUCAACCCCGGAACUGCCUCCAAAACUAUCAGUCUAGAGGUCGAGAGAGGUGAGUGGAAUUCCGAGUGUAGAGGUGAAAUUCGUAGAUAUUCGGAGGAACACCAGUGGCGAAGGCGGCUCACUGGCUCGAUACUGACGCUGAGGUGCGAAAGCGUGGGGAGCA